rnacentral:rRNA from 1 species
UACGUAGGGGGCAAGCGUUGUCCGGAGUUACUGGGCGUAAAGCGCACGCAGGCGGUCAUGUAAGUUUGGAGUGAAAGUGCCCGGCUUAACUGGGGAAGUGCUUCGAAAACUGCGCGACUUGAGGGCUUCAGAGGGACACGGAAUUCCGGGUGUAGUGGUGAAAUGCGUAGAUAUCCGGAGGAACACCGAAGGCGUAGGCAGUGUCCUGGGGAGUAACUGACGCUGAGGUGCGAAAGCCAGGGGAGCGAACGGG